AGAGUUUGAUCMUGGCUCAGAUUGAACGCUGGCGGCAUGCCUUACACAUGCAAGUCGAACGGUAACAGGUCUUCGGAUGCUGACGAGUGGCGAACGGGUGAGUAAUACAUCGGAACGUGCCCGAUCGUGGGGGAUAACGAGGCGAAAGCUUUGCUAAUACCGCAUACGAUCUACGGAUGAAAGCGGGGGAUCUUCGGACCUCGCGCGGACGGAGCGGCCGAUGGCAGAUUAGGYAGUUGGUGGGAUAAAAGCUUACCAAGCCGACGAUCUGUAGCUGGUCUGAGAGGAUGAUCAGCCACACUGGGACUGAGACACGGCCCAGACUCCUACGGGAGGCAGCAGUGGGGAAUUUUGGACAAUGGGCGAAAGCCUGAUCCAGCCAUGCCGCGUGCAGGAUGAAGGCCUUCGGGUUGUAAACUGCUUUUGUACGGAACGAAAAGCCUCUUUCUAAUAAAGAGGGGUCAUGACGGUACCGUAAGAAUAAGCACCGGCUAACUACGUGCCAGCAGCCGCGGUAAUACGUAGGGUGCAAGCGUUAAUCGGAAUUACUGGGCGUAAAGCGUGCGCAGGCGGUUUUGUAAGACAGAGGUGAAAUCCCCGGGCUCAACCUGGGAACUGCCUUUGUGACUGCAAGRCUGGAGUGCGGCAGAGGGGGAUGGAAUUCCGCGUGUAGCAGUGAAAUGCGUAGAUAUGCGGAGGAACACCGAUGGCGAAGGCAAUCCCCUGGGCCUGCACUGACGCUCAUGCACGAAAGCGUGGGGAGCAAACAGGAUUAGAUACCCYGGUAGU
rnacentral:rRNA from 1 species